AGCCUACGGGAGGCAGCAGUGGGGGAUAUUGCACAAUGGGGGAAACCCUGAUGCAGCGACGCCGCGUGAGCGAUGAAGUAUUUCGGUAUGUAAAGCUCUAUCAGCAGGGAAGAAAAUGACGGUACCUGACUAAGAAGCCCCGGCUAACUACGUGCCAGCAGCCGCGGUAAUACGUAGGGGGCAAGCGUUAUCCGGAUUUACUGGGUGUAAAGGGAGCGUAGACGGCUGUGCAAGUCUGAAGUGAAAGCCCAGGGCUCAACCCUGGGACUGCUUUGGAAACUGCGGAGCUAGAGUGCUGGAGAGGU
rnacentral:rRNA from 1 species